AGGAAAUGUGAGCUUUUGCCAUCACUUGGCGUCCGUCGUCGUCCGUCGUCGUCGUCCGUCCGUCGUCGUCGUCAACUAUUUCAAAGAUCUUCUCCUCUGAAACUACUGAACCAAUUCAAACCAAACUUCAUCUGAUUGAUUCCUAGGGUAUCUAGAAUAAAGUUUGUGUUUUAAUUUCCAUUUCAUCAAAAAACAUGGCCGCCAUGGCUAAAAAUAGAACAUAGGGGUAAAUCGCAGUUUUUGGCUUAUAACUCAAAAACCAAAGCAUUUAGAGCAAAUCUGACAUCGGGUAAAACUGUUUAUCAGGUCAAGAUCUAUCUGCCCUGAAAUUUUCAGAUGAAUCGGACAUUCGGUUGUUGGGUUGCUGCUCCUGAAUUGGUAAUUUUAAGGAAAUUUUUGCUGUUUUUGGUUAUUAUCUUGAAUAUUAUUAUAGAUAGAGAUAAACUGUAAACAGCAAUAAUGUUCAGCAAAGUAAGAUUUACAAAUAAGUCAAAUGACCGAAAUGGUCAGUUGACCCGUUUAGGAGUUAUUGCCCUUUAUAGUCAAUUUUUAACCAUUUUUCGUAAAUCUUAGUUAUCUUUUACAAAUAUCUUCUCCUCUGAAACUACCGGGCCAAAUUAAUAUAAACUUGGCCACAAUCAUCUUUGGGGUAUCUAGUUUGAUAAAUGUGUCCGGUGACCCGGCCAUCAAAUCAAGAUGGCCGUCACGGCUAAAAAUAGAACAUAGGGGUAAAAUGCAGUUUUUGGCUUAUAACUCAAAAACCAAAGCAUUUAGAGCAAAUCUGACGUGGCGUAAAAUUGUUUAUCAGGUCAACAUCUAUCUGCCCUGAAAUUUUCAGAUGAAUCAGACAACCUGUUGUUGGGUUGCUGCCCCGGAAUCGGUAAUUUUAAGGAAAUUUUGCUAAUUUUGGUUAUUAUCUUGAAUAUUUUUAUAGAUAGAGAUAAACUGUAAACAGCAAUAAUGUUCAGCAAAGUAAGAUUUACAAAUAAGUCAAAAUGACCGAAAUGGUCAAUUGACCCCCUAAGGAGUUAUUGUCCUUUAUAGUCAAUUUUUAACAAUUUUCAUAAAAUUUGUAAAUUUUUAUUAACAUUUUCCACUGAAACUACUGGGCCAAGUUCAUUAUAGAUAGAGAUAAUUGUAAGCAGCAAGACUGUUUAGUAAAGUAAGAUGUACAAACACAUCACCAUCACCAAAACACAAUUUUGUCAUGAAUCCAUCUGCUUCCUUUGUUUAAUAUUCACAUAGACCAAGGUGAGCGACACAGGCUCUUUAGAGCCUCUAGUUUUAAUGAU
rnacentral:lncRNA from 1 species